rnacentral:rRNA from 1 species
GACAGAGGAGCCAAGCGUUGUCCGGAUUGACUGGGCGUAAAGCGCACGCAGGCGGCCCGGCGCGUGGGGUGUGAAAGCUGGCGGCUUAACUGCCAGACGCCAUCCCAUACGGCUGGGCUCGAGCCCUGCAGAGGUCCAUGGAAUUGCCGGUGUAGUGGUGAAAUGCGUAGAGAUCGGCAGGAACACCCAGGGGGAAACCAGUGGACUGGGCAGGGACGCUGACGCUGCAGGUGCGAAAGCGUGGGGAGCGAACCGG